GAUAGCAUUUAAUGUGUAUUUCCUAAAGCCAUUUACAAUCAUUUAAGACCCUGUAGAGAAUAUCAGGCUUACCUUGAAUUUGGAAGGCAUCUAGCUGGGCUGCUAGUUCACGGUGUAACGAGUCAUCUGCUUCUGCCCCGUUUAUAUUUCAACAAGUAUAUUCCCAACAAAAACGUAAACUUUGUAUGUGGGCGUGCUUUCAUAAUUGGUGUGCUGCAUUUCUUUAUGCCUGGUGUGGUGGCGCUGGAGUAGUGUUGUCGUUCAGCAAGGUAAGAUCGCCACGGACAGCAGCACGAAAACAUCAGCAAUGUCGCCGGCUGUCGCUGGUCGGGCUGCGCUGAGCGAUCCACCGUCGUCUCUGGACUGCUCCUCGCUGGCGGCUGACUUGUGUCCUGACCCGGUCGAUGUCUGGCUUCACGGCGUCACACUCAUCGCUGCAUCGGCGCCCGACGAGCGCAUGCCCUGCUCUUUGUGUGCCGGCGUCGACGACAACGAGCUGCUACAAUGCAUCGCCUGCGCUGCCCGAUACCACCUGCACUGCGUGGAUGAAACGGAGGUGCCUCUUUCGCAAUCAGAGCAAGAGGCAUGGACGUGUGGUGACUGUCGACAGAACCGUGACAGUCAGACCACACUGUCGCCUGUUGAACAGCAUCGCUAUCACCGAUGUGGGGAUGGCCAUCUGAACGGCUGUGCGGUUUCUCUGAGUCCCAGCACUACGCUCAA